AUGAAAAAGGAAUAUUCUGAGGUCACGCGAUUCAACUUUAAGAUAUGCCUGGUAGUGGUCCUAAGAAUUAUCCUUGUACACUCUGCAAGAAGCGGACAAAGCCAGAUGAAAGGAGACCAAAAACCUGGUCCCAAACUUGUUGUGGUUCCUGCACAGACCAGGUUCACCUUUUUCCUAGAGCAGAACAUUUUGAUAUCUUCAGGUGCUCGUUGUUGUCCAGUCCACAUUGUAAAUGACACCAUCAACACAGAGUCAAUAGAAAAUCUGGUUCCACUCAAAGAUACAAUGCUCUCUGCAACAAAUACAGGCCACCUCUUAGCAGUGGAGAUGAAGAGAAUGACUUGCAGACAGCUGCAAAGAUGCGUCACCUCUCUACACAGACUAAUCUGCUGCAGACUGAGACACUCCCGCGUAAAUCUUGAACUAAGCAAGAACUGGUUGGACUCUGUAUGUGAUGCAGCCAUUAUUCCUGAGGUUGCUGAGGUUGUUGAUGAAAGCGACAGUGAUUCUGAAGCCAUGGAGGAAUGA
rnacentral:sRNA from 1 species